rnacentral:rRNA from 1 species
AUGAUGUAUGAUGAUGGGUUGAAAUGGGAGAUGGUGACGAAAGCAACUUGCUUCAACAACCACAUUGAUUCCCUUCUCUACAGUUCCACGAGUUUGUCGCCAGGAUGCAAGCAGGAUCACCACCCCCUCCCUAGCCGCCAGUACUGCGAGAUGCAGGAGCUGGCUGUGUAUGUUCGGCUUAGUCUCAUCUUCGUCCAGCUCUCCACCGUCACCGUGCUGGCAGUGCUCCUGAGUUCCUCUUCUCCCCCUUGCUCUGAGCAUGUGGUCAUCAAGCCAUGGCUAUUCUGUAUAGCUCUGGGUCAUGGACUUUGUGCCAUGGCUACUUAG